AGGUAGAUAUAGUUUAAUAAAAACCCUAGAUUGUGAAUCUAGUAAUAGAAAAUUAAAUAUUCUUAUCUACC
rnacentral:tRNA from 1 species